UUGGGAAUAUUGCACAAUGGGGGAAACCCUGAUGCAGCGACGCCGCGUGAGGGAAGAAGGUUUUCGGAUUGUAAACCUCUGUCUUCGGGGACGAUAAUGACGGUACCCGAGGAGGAAGCCACGGCUAACUACGUGCCAGCAGCCGCGGUAAUACGUAGGUGGCAAGCGUUGUCCGGAAUUACUGGGUGUAAAGGGAGCGUAGGCGGGAAGACAAGUCAAGUGUUAAAACUAUCGGCUCAACCGAUAGUCGCGCUUGAAACUGUUUUUCUUGAGUGAAGUAGAGGUAAGCGGAAUUCCCGGUGUAGCGGUGGAAUGCGUAGAUAUCGGGAGGAACACCAGUGGCGAAGGCGGCUUACUGGGCUUUAACUGACGCUGAGGCUCGAAAGUGUGGGUAGCAAACA
rnacentral:rRNA from 1 species